rnacentral:rRNA from 1 species
AAUGUAGGCGGUUUUGCAAGUCAGGGGUGAAAUCCCUCAGCUUAACUGAGGAAGUGCCUUUGAAACUGCAUAACUAGAGGACAGGAGAGGAAAGUGGAAUUCCCGGUGUAGCGGUGGAAUGCGUAGAUAUCGGGAGGAACACCAGAGGCGAAGGCGGCUUUCUGGACUGAUCCUGACGCUGAGAUUCGAAAGCUAGGGGAGCAAACAGGAUUAGAUACCCUGGUAGUC